AUUGAACGCUGGCGGCAGGCCUAACACACGCAAGUCGAGCGGAUGAAGGGAGCUUGCUCCUGGAUUCAGCGGCGGACGGGUGAGUAAUGCCUAGGAAUCUGCCUGGUAGUGGGGGAUAACGUCCGGAAACGGGCGCUAAUACCGCAUACGUCCUGAGGGAGAAAGUGGGGGAUCUUCGGACCUCACGCUAUCAGAUGAGCCUAGGUCGGAUUAGCUAGUUGGUGGGGUAAAGGCCUACCAAGGCGACGAUCCGUAACUGGUCUGAGAGGAUGAUCAGUCACACUUGAACUGAGACACGGUCCAGACUCCUACGGGAGGCAGCAGUGGGGAAUAUUGGACAAUGGGCGAAAGCCUGAUCCAGCCAUGCCGCGUGUGUGAAGAAGGUCUUCGGAUUGUAAAGCACUUUAAGUUGGGAGGAAGGGCAGUAAGUUAAUACCUUGCUGUUUUGACGUUACCAACAGAAUAAGCACCGGCUAACUUCGUG
rnacentral:rRNA from 1 species